rnacentral:rRNA from 1 species
AUUGAACGCUGGCGGCAGGCCUAACACAUGCAAGUCGAACGAGUGGCGGACGGGUGAGUAAGGACUGGGAAACUGCAUGAUGGAGGGGGAUAACAACUGGAAACGGUAGCUAAUACCGCAUAACAUCAGAUGUGCCCAGAUGGGAUGAGCUUGUUGGGGGGGUAACGGAGCACCAAGGCGAAUAUCCCUAGCGGGUCUGUGAGGAUGACCAGCCACACUGGAACUGAGACACGGUCCAUACGCCGACGGGAGGCAGCAGUGGGGAAUAUUGCACAAUGGGCGCAAGCCGGAUGCAGCCGUGCCGAGUGUAUGAAGAAGGCCUUCGGGUUGUAAAGUACUUUCAGCGGGGAUGCGUUACCCGCAGAAGAAGCACCGGCUAACUCCGUGCCAGCAGCCGCGGUAAUUC